rnacentral:rRNA from 1 species
GUGGGGAAUCUUAGACAAUGGGGACAACCCUGAUCUAGCCAUGCCGCGUGAGUGAUGAAGGCCUUAGGGUCGUAAAGCUCUUUCGCUGGGGAAGAUAAUGACGGUACCCAGUAAAGAAACCCCGGCUAACUCCGUGCCAGCAGCCGCGGUAAUACGGAGGGGGUUAGCGUUGUUCGGAAUUACUGGGCGUAAAGCGCGCGUAGGCGGAUUGGAAAGUUGGGGGUGAAAUCCCGGGGCUCAACCCUGGAAUGGCCUUCAAAACUCCCAGUCUUGAGGUCGAGAGAGGUGAGUGGAAUUCCGAGUGUAGAGGUGAAAUUCGUAGAUAUUCGGAGGAACACCAGUGGCGAAGGCGGCUCACUGGCUCGAUACUGACGCUGAGGUGCGAAAGCGUGGGGAGCAAACAGGAUUAGAUACCCCAGUAGUCC